UGGGGAAUCUUGCGCAAUGGGCGAAAGCCUGACGCAGCCAUGCCGCGUGAAUGAUGAAGGUCUUAGGAUUGUAAAAUUCUUUCACCGGGGACGAUAAUGACGGUACCCGGAGAAGAAGCCCCGGCUAACUUCGUGCCAGCAGCCGCGGUAAUACGAAGGGGGCUAGCGUUGCUCGGAAUUACUGGGCGUAAAGGGAGCGUAGGCGGACUGUUAAGUUAGAGGUGAAAGCCCAGGGCUCAACCGUGGAAUUGCCUUUGAUACUGGCAGUCUUGAGUACGGAAGAGGUAUGUGGAACUCCGAGUGUAGAGGUGAAAUUCGUAGAUAUUCGGAAGAACACCAGUGGCGAAGGCGACAUACUGGUCCGUUACUGACGCUGAGGCUCGAAAGCGUGGGGAGCAAACA
rnacentral:rRNA from 1 species